rnacentral:lncRNA from 1 species
UGUGUCGGUGAAAGGGGAGAAACUGGCUGACUUGCGUCUGUUUUUAAUGAUGUCGCUGCUGCUGGGAAAAUUUGGAAGCUGCAGAGCCAAGAACAUCAGAGGUGGGAUGAUGAUGCUUGUGGCUAUGAGACAGGAUUUCAAGGAUCCUGAUGAAACGUCUGCUGGCCUGAAUCUGUCUGAAUGCUGAAAAGGACUUUGUGUUACUCUAACUGAAAGGAAAACAUAAAAUGAUGAUAAUGUA